rnacentral:rRNA from 1 species
UCCGUAGGUGAACCUGCGGAAGGAUCAUUAGAUUGAAUUAUCAUUGUUGCUCGAGUUCUUGUUUAGAUCUUUUACAAUAAUGUGUAUCUUUAUUGGAGAUGUGCGCUUAAUUGCGCUGCUUCAUUAGAGUGUCGCAGUAGAAGUAGUCUUGCUUGAAUCUCAGUCAACGUUUACACACAUUGGAGUUUUUUUACUUUAAUUUAAUUCUUUCUGCUUUGAAUCGAAAGGUUCAAGGCAAAAAACAAACACAAACAAUUUUAUUUUAUUAUAAUUUUUUAAACUAAACCAAAAUUCCUAACGGAAAUUUUAAAAUAAUUUAAAACUUUCAACAACGGAUCUCUUGGUUCUCGCAUCGAUGAAGAACGUAGCGAAUUGCGAUAAGUAAUGUGAAUUGCAGAUACUCGUGAAUCAUUGAAUUUUUGAACGCACAUUGCGCCCUUGAGCAUUCUCAAGGGCAUGCCUGUUUGAGCGUCAUUUCCUUCUCAAAAGAUAAUUUUUUAUUUUUUGGUUGUGGGCGAUACUCAGGGUUAGCUUGAAAUUGGAGACUGUUUCAGUCUUUUUUAAUUCAACACUUAGCUUCUUUGGAGACGCUGUUCUCGCUGUGAUGUAUUUAUGGAUUUAUUCGUUUUACUUUACAAGGGAAAUGGUAAUGUACCUUAGGCAAAGGGUUGCUUUUAAUAUUCAUCAAGUUUGACCUCAAAUCAGGUAGGAUUACCCGCUGAACUUAAGCAUAUCAAUAAGCGGAGGAAAAGAAACCAACUGGAAGAGU